rnacentral:lncRNA from 15 species
AAUUUUAUUUGUAUUCUUUAGGUGGAGUCCUUCAUUUUUCUUGCGUACAUGGGGUGGUAUACUACCUGAACUUUCUGUUCUGGACUGAGUCAGCAAGAGACCACACGGACGGUCUACUGAGUUUUAAGCACUUUCCCACCUGUCUCAUCUCUGAUGUAGCUGGACAGGUUGCCCGCCAUACAAACAAUCGCACAAAACAACUUUUUUUCCAACCACAUGAUGGAAGACUCUGUGCACCGACCUCUGAUAACCUGAAACUGGCAGCCAAGAAGGAAUUAAAAGUAGACAUGCAGUGGGUAAAGAACCUAAGGUCCCCAUUCCCAUCACAAGAAAACCCUGAUAACGACAGACUGCAAGCAAGACAUCCAAUCACUGGGACAUGUGAAAGGUACUCCUUGUACGACAGAUUCCACCAAAAAAACCAAAAACGCCCAGAAGAGAAGUUGCGAAGCCUCAACAUCUGCCCCACCCUAAGAACAGAAGUGAACUCAUCUGUUGCAGAGCAGUUCAAUCGUGAACUUGCUUCUGUGAGAUAUUCAUUGUGCCAAAUGAAUGAGCCACAUUUUAAGCAGACAGUAAGGGUGUUAAUUGAUCUUCACAAUGAAAAGAUUAACAGGAGCUUUAAGGCAGAAAUGGAGGCCUUGUGCAACAUGAAGUUGUCCAUUGGCCUGCAUGGGAUGCUGGGACUGCAGUCUGCUGAGGGGAAGGUUGGAAAUGUCAAUAUACAACCUGACAGCAUUGUGAAGUCUUCCUUCUUGGCACAAUUGUAUGAUGUUGACGAUAAGGACAAGGAAAAACUGAAGAAGUUAUUAUGUGGAUCUCGAGAUGAAAAUCAAGCCCUGACUCAUUCCACAAGAAGAUAUCCUGUGUCAAUUAAGGACAUGCGCAGUGUUUGCCCACUCGAGUUGUUGGCAGACUCUUCACUGGCUAUGCCAUGGCUGACAGAUGAUUGUGGUUCUUUGGGUCACUUUGAUUUUAUUUUGUGGCACCGGGAAUGGACAAGCACUGGAGCUGUCGAAGACAAAUUUGUGAAACACAUCCCUGUACGUCCUUUUUUGUGACUUUUUUCCUAAUACAAUGUAUAUAUUAACAAAACACAUCUGCUUUUCAUAUGGACUUUGUUG